UUUAUAUGUAUGUAUUCAAAAGAAUCAAUACUUUUGUCCCUUCAAAUAGAAAAGUGUGAUUUUAUAAAAGAGAAAUUUAUACAAUAAUCUAUUAUAAUGUAUGAAUUAUGAAGGAACCCAACCAGUUCAGUUCUCUCUCUCAAAUAAAAUAUUUUCAGUUUUAUAACUUUCAACCAAAACUGGUUUGAUUUAGUAACUAGAAACUCAAUCCAAACCGCCCAAUUUACUCCUAAAUUCAUGAGUUUUGAGGGAGAAAUUUGUUAAGUUUAAACAUAAGAUGUUACAAUCUACAAGGGGAUAGAACUAGAUUAGCAAAACUGAUUUUGAUUAGUACUCAUGGCUGAGAUAGGUAGCGGUUGAUUCGAUGUUAUCUUCGGUCAACCAUGUCACAAGAGCGAUUCAAUGGAUUAGCUAUGAUUUCUAUUGAAAAAAAUAUGUUGGAAAAACUUGAUUUCAGUAGGUUGAUUACUAAUUUUACAUCUCAAAAUGUGAGAAAGUUAAAUCUUAUGCUAGCUUUAUCUCUCGAAUUGUGAGAGAAGUUUUAUUUUGCUAUUCUAUCUCUUGAAUUGUAUAAAGUUUUCUUUUUAUUAUAAAGGUAUUAAUUAUUUAAAUAUUUACAUAUUAUUACACUUCUAAAAUAAAUAUUAUAUUGAAGGGCCUCAUAAUAACUACAUGCCUAGGGCCUCUAAAUUCUCAUGGCCGGCCUUGAGAAUUAGAAAGAGCAUUCAUCAAGCUAAUCAGGUGCUUUUCUUUUAUUCAUAUUGUUUGUUAUGAUUAAGUCCUUGGUAUCAUAGCAACCCUGUUCUAAUUAGUUCAUUAACGUUUUAUUUUGAAUUAGGCUAAACUUUUUUCAAUGGACAAUAUGUCAUCCCGUGGAUUAUCCCAUGAUUGCUAUAAGCACUACAAGUUGAAAAGGUAUAAAAAGUUUUAUAAAUGCGAUGGAUGCAAGAUGAAAGGGUUUGGAGAAAGAUACCAAUGCUCUCGCUGUGGCGACUGUCUCCACAGAGAAUGUAGGUACCCCAGAUCCACCAUUACUCACGAGAAUUUUCCUGGCUCUACUUUCAGAUUUUAUAGUAAACCAUGCACAAAACUGGAUAAAAACCAUCGCAGACAGUUUUCGAAGUGCUGCAAUGCAUGUGGAAAGGACAUAUGCGGUUUUAGCUACCACUGUGAAGAAGACAAGUUGGAUUUGCAUCCAUACUGUCGAAAACUUGAAGAUAAAAUAGUGUUUAAGCAUACGAUAUUUGAUCUUGUCACAGAGUCUUCGUCCAAGUGUGUUAAGUGCGGAAAGCAGAAGAUUGAAAAUAGUGAUGUUCAGGGCUGGUCUUAUGUUUCCCAGUGCAAAACGUAUGGUCUUCAUGUGUAUUGUAUGACUGAUAUGAUACAAGAGGCGUAUAUGAAGCAUGAGGAUUUGACAUUGAAGAAAAGUGAUUCACGAGAAUUAGUAAGAUAUAACGGAAAGGGAAAGGGUAAAAAUACCUUCGUCACCUGUGCCAAAUGGGUUAUCAAAAUUCUAUUUUCUACUCUUUUGGGUGAUAUUACGUUGCUGAUAUCCAAUUCCAUCGUGGAGUUUCUCUUUCUUUCCUUGCGACUUUAGUGUCUUUUUCUUCGUCUAUUUUUCAGUGUGGAUGGUGUAAAUAAGUAUUGAUUAAAUAAAUAAAUAACAUCAACCUAUUCAUUGUUUUGUCC
rnacentral:lncRNA from 1 species